rnacentral:rRNA from 1 species
AUUGAACGCUGGCGGCAGGCCUAACACAUGCAAGUCGAACGAGUGGCGGACGGGUGAGUAAUGUCUGGGAAACUGCCUGAUGGAGGGGGAUAACUACUGGAAACGGUAGCUAAUACCGCAUACCAUCAGAUGUGCCCAGAUGGGAUUAGCUUGUUGGUGGGGUAACGGCUCACCAAGGCGACGAUCCUUAGCUGGUCUGAGAGGAUGACCAGCCACAUGGGAAUUGAGACACGGUCCAGACGCCUACGGGAGGAAGCAGUGGGGAAUAUUGCACAAUGGGCGCAAGCAGGAGACAGCCAUGCGGCGUGUAGGAAGAAGGUCUUCGGGUUGUAAAGCACUUUACGGGGGGAGGCGUUACCCGCAGAAGAAGCACAGGCUAACCCCGUGCCAGAAGCCGCGGUAAUUC